rnacentral:pre_miRNA from 1 species
AGUAGAAUUGCUGGAUUGUAUGGUAACUCUAUGUUUAACUUUUUGAAGAACUGCCAAACUGUUUUCCACAGUGGCUGUACCAUUUUACAUUCCCACCAGCAAC